UGGACCAUCAGGGAAGUCCAGGACAUCCAGUCUUGACUGGUCUUUGUUAUUUUAUCUUUGUGCCUUCCUUCAGACACAUUACACUCUGGGAGUACAGAUCCAAGAUAAUAGCUUGUGCCUGACAGUGCUCGGAAUAUGAAAUGAGAAGAUGGAACCAAGAAUGAAAUGUGCCAGCAGAUGAAGGCUUUGCUGAUGUAGACUUGUGUCUGUAAGGCAUGGAGAAUUUUACCUGGAUUGUGUCAUUCAAGAUGGUUCCUAUGGGCUAUACUGAUGGGCAACCAGCUGAUUCUAGCAGUCCUAACAGUCAGCUACAAUCGCCAAUGUCCUGGUUGAAGAAGCUGAUUGAAUCCAUGUCUUUCCACGUCGUGUUUUCUGUCAUGGCCAGCAACAAGAAAAAGCUGUUUCGGUUCAGGCCCAAGACCACCAUAAU